AUGAAGCUGAGCUAAGAUUAAUUAACAUGUGUUUGAUCUAAUUGUGGAGAUUAUCAGAGUUGGCACCUUCAGAACCAAUAAGAGCAGAGUGUGUGGCAGCGUGAAUUGGUCAACCCUCGUCCCUCGCUUCUGAUGCUUGUCAAGUUCAUGGGACCCACAUUAGGGAUGUUGGUACGAGAGUAGAAUUUAUUAAGUGGGAGGGGGGCCCGCCCUCUCUAGAAAAUGACUUCGACUUUAGCUCCCAGCUGCGAUGG
rnacentral:lncRNA from 1 species